rnacentral:rRNA from 1 species
UACAGAGGUGGCAAGCGUUGUUCGGAAUUACUGAGCGUAAAGCGCGUGUAGGCGGCUCUUCAAGUCAGGCGUGAAAGCCCCGGGCUCAACUCGGGAACUGCGCUUGAUACUGUCGAGCUAGAGUGUGGAAGGGGCGAUUGGAAUUCCGUGUGUAGCGGUGAAAUGCGUAGAUAUACGGAGGAACACCAGAGGCGAAGGCGGAUCGCUGGGCCAACACUGACGCUGAGACGCGAAAGCUAGGGUAGCAAACGGG